rnacentral:tRNA from 1 species
AGCCCCAUAGUGUAGUGGUCAAUCAUGUGGGAUUCUGGAUCCUGCGACUGCAGUUCGAAUCUGCAUGGGGCUACCA